CCUCGGUGAUUCAGGGAUGCCUCCUGUGCCUCUGCCUGGUGGCUUCGUACCUGGCCACCCUGAGCAGCCGCCUCCCAGACGCCCCUCCUGGGUUCUCUUCCAGUGAGAGUCCUGUAGAAUCUAAGAGUGACCUUAGAAUUGGUUGGCUCCUGCUACAGAUGAGAAAACUAAGACCCAGAGAAGAGAAGAACGUGAACUGAAGGAGCAAGGAUUAGAGCCCGGGAGUCUUGGUCCUGAAUCCAGUGCCAUGCCCAGCAGCCAUGUGGCCCGAAGACAACCUCAGCAGCCCCCUCCCUGAGACACUCCUGUCAGCUCACAUGGGGAGUAGGAGGAGUUUGCCUUCAAGGCCUGGACCCAACACAGCACCUGGAUAGGGUCCCUGCAGCUGCCUUCCUCGCUGCCAGCGCUCCUGCCAGCUCGUCUCAUCUCAGCUCACUCCCCGACCUUCCAUCCUCUCAAAGUCAGAGUCCUUUCUUCAGGAACCAUCAAGGUGAGAUGUGCUAAAUCUAUCUGAGGAGAGGAGACUAAAGACCCCUCCCAGAUAAUCUGAGAAUAAUAAAACAACGGCCUACUGAAGGAAAGAGCUUAGCUAUCCUGACCAGAACAGCAACCUCAAAAGAGGGCAUCUGAAUUCGGAGGGGAAGGCAGGGGAGCUGGCCAGCCUCAGGAGUGGCCCAGAGACUCCAUUCAUCAGUGCCAUCAGCUAUUGCAAGCUGAAUGCAAUCAUGUAGAACUAUGCCUCACUAGCCUGACCCAGCACUCACACCCUGCCCUUCCAAGAAACGGUCUGGCCUGAAUUGCUAUCACCCCUCCCCCCUCCAUGGAAGGGUUAGGACCAGCUCUAGCCUGAGCACUGCAAGAGCUACCCUCCAUUCCCACACUCACCCCACAACAUCCAACACACUCCUGCCUAGCCCUCAGCAUGUGUCUAAACCCAGGCAUGGGCAUGACCAGAAAGGACAAGAUUGAAAACCCCAAGGGAAGUCUGCAGAAUGAGUCACAAUACCUGCAUCCUAAUCCACGCCUCUUCUAACCGGUUCUGUGGCCUCCAACAAACCCCCGGACUGCUCUCAGCCUCAGUUUACUUCUCUGAGAAAUUAGGGCAAUAGCAAUACCUGGGUGGCAUAGAGACAAAAUGAGAAAAUAAAAACUCUUCAAACUUAAAAGUAUUUGUCAAAGCUAUGACUAUCUCCUUGCAUUACUAGUAAUAAUAUAGUCACUUCCUUGCCCUCCACCCAGAUAUUUACUCAGAAUUUUCAGAGAAUUCCCCAAAUUUACCAAGCACCUUGGAAGAAUGAGCUUCUCUUGCUGCUCAAAUUCCCUUGUAGUUAAUCCCAGCUUGUGCCCAUCGAUUUUCCUUAAUAAGAUUAAAGGGGAAGUUUCGACCAGGUCAUCUCUCAG
rnacentral:lncRNA from 1 species